AAGGCACUGAAAAUGCCUAGAUGAGUAUAUUAACUCCAUGAACA
rnacentral:tRNA from 1 species